ensembl:lncRNA
GUCUGGCAGUGAGUCCUUCAGAAUGGAGGAGGUCUGGCAGUGAGUCCUUCAGAAUGGAGGAGGUCUGGCAGUGAGUCCUUCAGAAUGGAGGAGGUCUGGCAGUGAGUCCUUCAGAAUGGAGGAGGUAUGGCAGUGAGUCCUUCAGAAUGGAGGAGGUAUGGCAGUGAGUGCUUUGAGAUAAAGGAGGUUUGGCAGGAAGUCCUUUGAGACAUCCCGAAAUGUUCAAGAAUAUUUGGCCUGCAACCAAGUUUUGGAUGUAUGCCUCAGCUGGUGCUAUGCGAACGAAAUGGAAAUGCCUAGCUAAAUGUUCAGAUCAAGAUCCAAAUUAGAUGAGAUGUUAUGUUGGAUGAUAAGGGGUAGAUGUAAGGGGUUGAUGAGGGGGGUUUCCCACAUGGUCACAUCGUGUUUGUCCCAUUCCAGAUCCAGAGUUUUGACGAAGGCAGUGUCGUCAGUGGGAUGACCGGAGGACCAGAAAACAUGGUUUGGGGCCUGGUCAGAACCAACAGCACCCAGUCGGACAGCAGCGGGUUCCUGGAGGAACCCUUUGUACCCUCUCUCGACCCAGGACCAGAGCUCAUCAAGGUCUUUCUCACUCUGACAGCUCCUGCUUAAUACACUCCUUAACACCACAAGAUACUCACUAAGGGUCCUACUAUCAAGAUACUCACUACGGGUCCUACUAUCAAGAUACUCACUAAGGGUCCUAAUAUCAAGAUACUCACUAAGGGUCCUAAUAUCAAGAUACUCACUAAAUGUCCUAAUAUCCAGAUACUCACUAAGGGUCCUAAUAUCAAGAUACUCACUAAGGGUCCUAAUAUCAAGAUACUCACUAGGGCUAGUCCUUAAUAUCAAGAUACUCAAUAAGGGCUGCUCCUUAACAUCAAGAUACUCACUAAGGGCUGGUCUUUAGUACGACCAGUCUGAAUAGUUUGACUAGUAAGACCAGUAAGACGGGUUUGACCAGUACUGCCAGUAAGACCAGUCUGACCGGCACGACCAGUCUGAUCAGUACGGCCAGUAAGACCAGUAAGACCAGUCAGACCAGUCCGGCCAGUCCAGUGUUGUCCCAGCAGAGUGUUUCU